rnacentral:rRNA from 1 species
AUACGGAGGGUGCAAGCGUUGUUCGGAAUCACUGGGCGUAAAGGGCGCGCAGGCGGUUUGGUAAGUCAGAUGUGAAAGCCCACGGCUCAACCGUGGAAGUGCAUUUGAAACUGCCAGACUUGAGUACCAGAGGGGAAAGUGGAAUUCCCGGUGUAGAGGUGAAAUUCGUAGAUAUCGGGAGGAAUACCGGUGGCGAAGGCGACUUUCUGGCUGGAUACUGACGCUGAGGCGCGAAAGCGUGGGGAGCAAACAGGAUUAGAAACCCGAGUAGUCC